rnacentral:snRNA from 1 species
GUCACUUCGGCAGCACAUAUACUAAAAUUGGAAUGAUAUGGACAAGAUUAGCAUAGCCCCUGUGCAAGGAUGACAUUCAAAUCUGUGAAGUGUUCCAUAUUUUU